rnacentral:rRNA from 1 species
GUCGGGAAUUUUGGGCAAUGGGCGAAAGCCUGACCCAGCAACGCCGCGUGAAGGAUGAAAUCCUUCGGGAUGUAAACUUCGCAAGAACGGGAAGAAUAAACCCGGGUCAAUACCCCGGGCGAUGACGGUACCGUUUGUAAGCUCCGGCUAACUCCGUGCCAGCAGCCGCGGUAAUACGGGGGGAGCAAGCGUUGUUCGGAUUUACUGGGCGUAAAGGGCGCGUAGGCGGCCACCGCAAGUCAGUUGUGAAAUCUCCGAGCUUAACUCGGAACGGUCAACUGAUACUGCGGGGCUAGAGUGCGGAAGGGGCAACUGGAAUUCUCGGUGUAGCGGUGAAAUGCGUAGAUAUCGAGAGGAACACCUGCGGCGAAGGCGGGUUGCUGGGCCGACACUGACGCUGAGGCGCGAAAGCUAGGGGAGCGAACGGGAUUAGAUACCCGAGUAGUCC